UACGUAGGGGGCAAGCGUUGUCCGGAUUUAUUGGGCGUAAAGAGCGUGUAGGCGGCCAGAUAGGUCUGCUGUGAAAACUCGAGGCUUAACCUCGAGACGUCGGCGGAAACCAUCUGGCUAGAGUCCGGAAGAGGAGAGUGGAAUUCCUGGUGUAGCGGUGAAAUGCGCAGAUAUCAGGAAGAACACCCGUGGCGAAGGCGGCUCUCUGGGACGGUACUGACGCUGAGACGCGAAAGCGUGGGGAGCGAACAGG
rnacentral:rRNA from 1 species